UGGCGAAGUCACUGAUACCACGCUUCCAGGAAAAGCUCCUAAGCUUCAGCUCACGAAGACCGUACCGUAAACCGACACAGGUGGGUAGGAUGAGAAUUCUCAGGCGCUUGAGAGAACUCGGGUGAAGGAACUAGGCAACAUGGCACCGUAACUUCGGGAGAAGGUGCACCCUUUUUGGUGGCUCGUGCGAGCUAUAGCUGAAGAGGGUCGCAGAAACCAGGCCGCUGCGACUGUUUAUCAAAAACACAGCACUCUGCAAACACGAAAGUGGACGUAUAGGGUGUGACGCCUGCCCGGUGCUGGAAGGUUAAUUGAUGGGGUCAGCCGCAAGGCGAAGCUCUUGAUCGAAGCCCCAGUAAACGGCGGCCGUAACUAUAACGGUCCUAAGGUAGCGAAAUUCCUUGUCGGGUAAGUUCCGACCUGCACGAAUGGCGUAACGACAGCGGCGCUGUCUCCACCCGAGACUCAGUGAAAUUGAAAUCGCUGUGAAGAUGCAGCGUUCCCGUGGCAAGACGGAAAGACCCCGUGAACCUUUACUAUAGCUUUACACUGAACGUUGAGUUCGUCUGUGUAGGAUAGGUGGGAGGCUAUGAAACUGUGGCGCUAGCUGCAGUGGAGCCAUCCUUGAAAUACCACCCUGUCGUGCUUGACGUUCUAACCUAGGUCCGUUAUCCGGAUCAGGGACCGUGUAUGGUGGGUAGUUUGACUGGGGCGGUCUCCUCCUAAAGAGUAACGGAGGAGCACGAAGGUACGCUCAGCGCGGUCGGACAUCGCGCACUGUGUGCAAAGGCAUAAGCGUGCUUGACUGCAAGAUCGACGGAUCAAGCAGGUACGAAAGUAGGUCUUAGUGAUCCGGUGGUUCUGUAUGGAAGGGCCAUCGCUCAACGGAUAAAAGGUACUCCGGGGAUAACAGGCUGAUACCGCCCAAGAGUUCAUAUCGACGGCGGUGUUUGGCACCUCGAUGUCGGCUCAUCACAUCCUGGGGCUGUAGUCGGUCCCAAGGGUAUGGCUGUUCGCCAUUUAAAGUGGUACGCGAGCUGGGUUCAGAACGUCGUGAGACAGUUCGGUCCCUAUCUGCCAUGGGCGUUGGAAGUUUGAGAGGGGCUGCUCCUAGUACGAGAGGACCGGAGUGGACGAACCUCUGGUGUUCCGGUUGUCACGCCAGUGGCAUUGCCGGGUAGCUAUGUUCGGAAGCGAUAACCGCUGAAAGCAUCUAAGCGGGAAGCGCGCCUCAAGAUGAGACUUCCCGGGGCACAAGCCCCCUAAAGGAACCAUGUAGACUACGUGGUUGAUAGGUCAGGUGUGUAAGUACAGCAAUGUAUUGAGCUAACUGAUACUAAUGAUCCGUGCGGCUUGACCAU
rnacentral:rRNA from 1 species